rnacentral:rRNA from 1 species
GAUGAACGCUGGCGGCGUGCCUAACACAUGCAAGUCGAACGGAGAUUAUUGACGGAAGUUUUCGGAUGGAAGACGGUAAUCUUAGUGGCGGACGGGUGAGUAACGCGUGGGUAACCUGCCCCGUACAGGGGGAUAGCGUCGGGAAACUGACGGUAAGACCGCAUAGGACCACAUAUUCGCAUGGAUAAGUGGUGAAAAGGGAAACCUGGUAUGGGAUGGACCCGCGUCCGAUUAGCCAGUUGGCAGGGUAAAGGCCUACCAAAGCUUCGAUCGGUAGCCGGACUGAGAGGUCGGACGGCCACAUUGGGACUGAGACACGGCCCAGACUCCUACGGGAGGCAGCAGUGGGGGAUAUUGCACAAUGGAGGAAACUCUGAUGCAGCGACGCCGCGUGAGUGAAGAAGUGCUCCGGCAUGUAAAGCUCUUUCAGCAGGGAAGAUGAUGACGGUACCUGAAUAAGAAGCCCCGGCUAACUACGUGCCAGCAGCCGCGGUAAUACGUAGGGGGCAAGCGUUAUCCGGAUUUACUGGGUGUAAAGGGAGCGCAGGCAGUCUGGCAAGUUGAGAGUGGAAGCAGGGGGCUCAACCCCCUGACUGCUCCCAAAACUGUUGGACUGGAGUAUGGGAGAGGCAGGCGGAAUUCCUAGUGUAGCGGUGAAAUGCUCAGAUAUUAGGAAGAACACCGGUGGCGAAGGCGGCCUGCUGGACCGAAACUGACGCUGAGGCUCGAGAGCGUGGGGAGCGAACAGG